rnacentral:rRNA from 1 species
AGGAAUAUUGGUCAAUGGGCGAGAGCCUGAACCAGCCAAGUAGCGUGAAGGAUGACUGCCCUAUGGGUUGUAAACUUCUUUUAUAAAGGAAUAAAGUCGGGUAUGCAUACCCGUUUGCAUGUACUUUAUGAAUAAGGAUCGGCUAACUCCGUGCCAGCAGCCGCGGUAAUACGGAGGAUCCGAGCGUUAUCCGGAUUUAUUGGGUUUAAAGGGAGCGUAGGUGGAUUGUUAAGUCAGUUGUGAAAGUUUGCGGCUCAACCGUAAAAUUGCAGUUGAAACUGGCAGUCUUGAGUACAGUAGAGGUGGGCGGAAUUCGUGGUGUAGCGGUGAAAUGCUUAGAUAUCACGAAGAACUCCGAUUGCGAAGGCAGCUCACUAGACUGUCACUGACACUGAUGCUCGAAAGUGUGGGUAUCAAACAGGAUUAGAUACCCUGGUAGUCCACACAGUAAACGAUGAAUACUCGCUGUUUGCGAUAUACAGUAAGCGGCCAAGCGAAAGCAUUAAGUAUUCCACCUGGGGAGUACGCCGGCAACGGUGAAACUCAAAGGAAUUGACGGGGGCCCGCACAAGCGGAGGAACAUGUGGUUUAAUUCGAUGAUACGCGAGGAACCUUACCCGGGCUUAAAUUGCAACAGAAUAUAUUGGAAACAGUAUAGCCGUAAGGCUGUUGUGAAGGUGCUGCAUGGUUGUCGUCAGCUCGUGCCGUGAGGUGUCGGCUUAAGUGCCAUAACGAGCGCAACCCUUAUCUUUAGUUACUAACAGGUCAUGCUGAGGACUCUAGAGAGACUGCCGUCGUAAGAUGUGAGGAAGGUGGGGAUGACGUCAAAUCAGCACGGCCCUUACGUCCGGGGCUACACACGUGUUACAAUGGGGGGUACAGAAGGCGGCUACCUGGUGACAGGAUGCUAAUCCCAAAAACCUCUCUCAGUUCGGAUCGAAGUCUGCAACCCGACUUCGUGAAGCUGGAUUCGCUAGUAAUCGCGCAUCAGCCAUGGCGCGGUGAAUACGUUCCCG